AUACAGAGGGUGCAAGCGUUAUUCGGAAUUACUGGGCGUAAAGCGCGCGUAGGCGGAUGAUUAAGUCAGUUGUGAAAGCCCUGGGCUCAACCUAGGAACUGCAUCUGAUACUGGUCGUCUAGAGUUUAAGAGAGGGAAGUGGAAUUCCAGGUGUAGCAGUGAAAUGCGUAGAUAUCUGGAGGAACAUCAGUGGCGAAGGCGACUUCCUGGCUUAGAACUGACGCUGAGGUGCGAAAGCGUGGGUAGCGAACGGGAUUAGAUACCCUAGUAGUCC
rnacentral:rRNA from 1 species